AACGAACGCUGGCGGCAUGCCUAACACAUGCAAGUCGAACGCCUGUAGCAAUACAGGAGUGGCAGACGGGUGCAAAACGCGUGGAAACCUAUCCUUGGGUUCGGAAUAACCGCGGGAAACUGCGGCUAAUACCGGAUACGUCCUUCGGGAGAAAGAUUUAUCGCCCAUUUAGGGGUCCGCGUCUGAUUAGCUAGUUGGUGAGGUAAUGGCUCACCAAGGCGACGAUCAGUAGCUGGUCAGAGAGGAUGAUCAGCCACACUGGAACUGAGACACGGUCCAGACUCCUACGGGAGGCAGCAGUGGGGAAUAUUGGACAAUGGGCGCAAGCCUGAUCCAGCAAUGCCGCGUGGGUGAUGAAGGCCUUCGGGUUGUAAAGCCCUUUUGGCGGGGACGAUGAUGACGGUACCCGCCGAAUAAGCUCCGGCUAACUUCAUGCCAGCAGCCGCCGUAAGAC
rnacentral:rRNA from 1 species